rnacentral:rRNA from 1 species
GAUGAACGCUGGCGGCGUGCUUAACACAUGCAAGUCGAACGGAAAGGCCCUGGCUUUGUUGGGUGCUCGAGUGGCGAACGGGUGAGUAACACGUGGGUGACCUGCCCUUGACUUCGGGAUAACUCUAGGAAACUGGGUCUAAUACCGGAUAGGACCACAUGUUGCAUGGUGUGGUUGAGAAAUUUUCGGCGUGGGAUGAGCUCGCGGCGUAUCAGCUUGUUGGUGGGGUAGUGGUGUACCAAGGCGUCGACGGGUAGCCGGCCUGAGAGGGUGACCGGCCACAUUGGGACUGAGAUACGGCCCAGACUCCUACGGGAGGCAGCAGUGGGGAAUAUUGCACAAUGGGCGGAAGCCUGAUGCAGCGACGCCGCGUGGGGGAUGACGGCCUUCGGGUUGUAAACCGCUUUCGCUUGUGACGAAGCGUAAGUGACGGUACCUGGUAAAGAAGCACCGGCUAACUACGUG